GUCUCUGCCCGGUAGGGCGGCCUCGCCAGGCGCUUAGGCCCCGUUCCUUGCGGCUUUCGGACUAAGGGGUGCAGGGCUUUUUCUUGACUGGGGUUCAAGGACUGCUCUGCUGCCUGAUUGCUUUAGAGCCUAAGAAACAAGGAGGGCGAGGGCCGAGACCAGGGACACGACCAGCCCUCCAGAUCUGGUUCUUUCACAAGCUCCGCAGAGGCCCCAUGUUGGUGUGCGUGUGCAGUAGUGUUUCAGAGCGUCUGUGUAUCACACGCUACAUGAUUAACCCUAAUGUGAAGACACAGAGAGAAGGUGUCAUAUGUGGAGCAGGAAGCUGCCCUCACCAGACAUGGAAUCUGCAGGCAUCUUGCUCAUGGACUUCCCAGACUUCAGAACUACGGAGUUAUCAGGCCUCAGCCCAAGCUAAGCUAUCAUAUCCCCUGUGACCUGCACAUAUACAUCUAGAUGGCCUGAAGCAACUGAAGAACCAUAAAAGAUGACAUUCCACCAUUGUGAUGUUCCUGCCCCACCCUAGCUGAUCA
rnacentral:lncRNA from 1 species